GGUGAAGUCGUGACGGGGGGGGGGGUAAGUGGGUGGGUGCGGGCGUGGUUCGGAGUGAGUGGGGGUAGAGGGGGGGUUGGGGGUCUGUUAAGUCAUGGGUGAAAGCCCACAGCUCAAGUGGGGAAGUGCGCAUGAAACUGACAGGCUAGAGUACCGAAGAGGAAGGUGGAAUUCCCGGUGUAGCGGUGAAAGGCGUAGAUAUCGGGAGGAACACCGGUGGCGAAGGCGGCCUUCUGGUCGGAUACUGACGCUAAAACGCGAAAGCGUGGGGAGCAAACAGGAUUAGAUACCCGGGUAGUC
rnacentral:rRNA from 1 species